rnacentral:rRNA from 1 species
UACAGAGGUGGCAAGCGUUGUUCGGAAUUACUGGGCGUAAAGGGCGCGCAGGCGGCUCUGAAAGUCAGAUGUGAAAGCCCCGGGCUUAACCUGGGAAUUGCAUUUGAUACUCUGGAGCUUGAGUACGGGAGAGGAGAGUGGAAUUCCCAGUGUAGAGGUGAAAUUCGUAGAUAUUGGGAAGAACACCGGUGGCGAAGGCGGCUCUCUGGACCGUAACUGACGCUGAGGCGCGAAAGCGUGGGGAGCAAACAGG